rnacentral:tRNA from 1 species
GCAGUAUAGCAUAGUGGUAAGGCGCAGGGCUUGUAACCGAAAGGUUGCCGUUUCAAUUCCCGCUGUGCA